GUUCAAGCGGUCACGACGUUCGCAACCCGCCGCUUUCUUUCCCUUUCUCUGAUUGAGUAACGCGGAAGAGGCUGAAGGCUAAGGAUUCGAAGAUCCGAGCGGCGCCAACAACAACAUCGUCACGAAGGCCACUUCGACCACGUCCUGAGCCAGGUCCAUCGUCCAGUCGUCUGCUUCACGUCGCGCUCGUUCGUACGCCAUUGGUCCCAACGCAGCCUUCAAAUGUAACCAGCAAAGAUUCAGUAGUACGACCAUACGUUAUAUACUUGUACUACCAGAACAGGUAGAGGGAAUAUGAUAGCAGGAUGGUAAUAGAAUAAAAUGUAACAUAAUAGAAAUAGGGUAAUAGUUCACGAUACCUGUAAAGUGCCUUUUGGUAACCCGCAGAUGACCAUGAACACUCUUUCUCUCCACGUGAACGGUCCACCGUAGGUGAUAAUCAGGAUACCAAGACUACGCGCCUA